rnacentral:lncRNA from 14 species
AUCCUUUGAAGUUUUCCAGAGAUACCCAAGAAAGAAGACACAUCCAAAUACCUAGACUACCCCCAAACUCCAUCCUGGAACAGAUGGCAGGGAUCAGUAAAGCAGCAGAGGAAGUAAAAUGAGUGAAGUGAUGCUAUGAUUGAGAUCAAUGGGAAGUUUUGGCCACUAACUUGCAUUUCAGCUGAUGUGGUUUAACCAAGGGGAACAAAGGACAAAAACAUCUAACCCUCCUCACUAGAAGUUCCUUUUUGCUUCCUCUACUUGGAGAUAUUUUAUUAUGAAAUUCAAAUGAGUUCUCCUUUCUAUUGCUUUUGUUGAAAGAGAAAAAUAGGACAGAAAGCCAGCUAGGAGGAAAAGUUCAUGAUCUGGAGUCCUUGGACUUGCUGAAGUUUCUUGAUGUGUUUCCACAGAAAGUGGGCAAGCAGCUACACCUCGCACCAAGGCACUGAAGUUUCUCCAUCACCAGCCAGUUUUAACUAGGGCUGGUUUUGCCCAAACCACCACUGCACUUAAACUGAAAACAAGUUUGACUGCAAAUAGAGACCUCCAUCCAUGGGACUGGGGUUUACCAAGGCAACAAGGGGGCCAUGCGUUGGCUCUGGUUGAUCUUAUGACUGAGUUGGAAGAUCUCUCCCUCAUAGAGACUGUCUGAUAUCCACUCAUGCAAACUGGAGCUGCACCUCUCCCCAAGGCUCAAAGUCCAUCCAAGGCUCUCCAGGACCUCUUCAGUUCAGUCAGGCUCAGAUCAGUGGCAAACCACAUAAAGGAAAAGAUCUUGUUAGUGCUGGGAAAAAGGAUUUGGAGUGGAAAGUGCUCUGCUUGCCUGCACGCAGCCCGCAGUGCAGCCACAGCUUUGCUGUUGUGCCUCAAGGCCUCACCAGUAAAAAUAGGUAAAUAAAUAGAAUAAAUGCAUUCCUGCCUCCA